rnacentral:rRNA from 1 species
AUUGAACGCUGGCGGCAGGCUUAACACAUGCAAGUCGAGCGGAGCGAGGGUGCUUGCACCUUAGCUUAGCGGCGGACGGGUGAGUAAUGCUUAGGAAUCUGCCUAUUAGUGGGGGACAACAUUCCGAAAGGGAUGCUAAUACCGCAUACGCCCUACGGGGGAAAGCAGGGGAUCUUCGGACCUUGCGCUAAUAGAUGAGCCUAAGUCGGAUUAGCUAGUUGGUGGGGUAAAGGCCUACCUAGGCGACGAUCUGUAGCGGGUCUGAGAGGAUGAUCCGCCACACUGGGACUGAGAAACGGCCCAGACUCCUACGGGAGGCAGCAGUGGGGAAUAUUGGACAAUGGGCGGAAGCCUGAUCCAGCCAUGCCGCGUGUGUGAAGAAGGCCUUUUGGUUGUAAAGCACUUUAAGCGAGGAGGAGGCUACUAGUAUUAAUACUACUGGAUAGUGGACGUUACUCGCAGAAUAAGCACCGGCUAACUCUGUGCCAGCCGCCGCAGUAAAAC